UUCACACCCUGACAUUAUGAACAGUUAGAAAUCAGAAAUGCUCUAAAUUUAUGAAUUUCCCAUUACCAAUCUUAUUAGAUACUGAUUUUAUAUAUAUAUAAAAUCAUAAUAAACUUAAACCCAAAACUACAGGAACUAGACACAAAAUGGAUAAAUUUGGCAGAUCAGACUAUUGUGCAUAGACACAUAUACAUAUGAACUACAUUUAUCAAUCACAGAAUUUAUGGAUUACAUCAUUCUAAAUGAGUGGUCUUAAAUAAUGUGUGAUUUACGAUACCUGUAUUAUAAAUCACAUAAUAACCAAAUUCUCAAAAAGAAUAUUCAACUGGAUGGCCACAUAACUGUCACUUACAUUUUGAAUCUCACACCUUCAAUAUUUUAGGAGAAGCCAGGCUUGGUGAACUCCAUCUUUCAAUCUUCUGAUUGAAAGAUCUUUUCAUUGAUAUUGGCCAAUACAUGAUGGGUUCUGGAAGUGCCGUUGCCAAAUGUGUCCUUUUAAUUUGUUGAUGGUGCCUAAUACAUAGAGAAUAUCUUGCUUCAUUCUCAUCAAUAGAAAUGAUGUAAAAUUUAUAGUAAUAAGAUGAAUUAAAAAUUAAGAUGUCUUACCAUAUGCAACAUACAGUUGUAUAUGACAAAGACAAUAUUCAUUUCAGGCAAUUGUCUUUAAAUACUUUAAACAUGUGCAAUAGAUUGCAUCUGCUCUUAAAUGCCAGCACAGCAUGGAUACUAAGAUGCAAACAACAGAAAACAAAUUUAAAAAAUUUGAACUCCCAGAAUAAUUUGCUAUUGAUAAUUCUAUGUAUAUUUUUGUUAAUUUUGAUUUCCAACAGAUUAGACACUCAAUAUCAGGAUACCAAUAUGAAUAUUUUAUUGCAGACUUUGACAUAAAAUUUUGAGAUUCAAAUAGAGUAAUGACAAUUUUAUAUAGUUAUAAGGCUUGAGGAUGAAACUAAUUAUUGAACAUUAAAAUUAUACUAUUUUAAAACAAACCAGGAAAGACUAUAGAAUUGGAC
rnacentral:lncRNA from 1 species